ACUUAAAUUGAAGAGUUUGAUCAUGGCUCAGAUUGAACGCUGGCGGCAGGCCUAACACAUGCAAGUCGAGCGGUAGCACAGAGAGCUUGCUCUCGGGUGACGAGCGGCGGACGGGUGAGUAAUGUCUGGGAAACUGCCUGAUGGAGGGGGAUAACUACUGGAAACGGUAGCUAAUACCGCAUAACGUCGCAAGACCAAAGUGGGGGACCUUCGGGCCUCAUG
rnacentral:rRNA from 1 species